rnacentral:rRNA from 1 species
AUGUCUCGUCAUCGUGGGAUCGUCUGGAUGCGAUGCAUGCAUGUUGGAAGUUGCCACCAACCACUCUGCCCAGGCAAUCAAUAUAGGCCAAGCAGUGGGCAGCAGCCCAGUACACGGUACACACGCGCGCACCACGUAGUACAAAACCACUCUCGUCUGCCACGCAUGCACACACUCUCUUCUCUCUCCGCAGUAAAAGAGCAGCAGGCUCGCGUUUUAGUACUGUCCACUGUUGCACGUAGUACUUGUACCCUUGUCACGAUGCAUUUACCCCUCCACAUGCAACAACUGUGGCGCUCCACAGACCGUGCAUGCACCUUCGUACGUCUUCGUGUGCGUCCAUGCAUGCUUCGUUGCAGCUACGUGUAG